rnacentral:rRNA from 1 species
AACGAACGCUGGCGGCGUGCCUAACACAUGCAAGUCGAACGAGAUCUUCGGGUCUAGUGGCGCACGGGUGCGUAACGCGUGGGAAUCUGCCCUUUGGUUCGGAAUAACAGUUGGAAACGACUGCUAAUACCGGAUGAUGACGAAAGUCCCAAGAUUUAUCGCCAGAGGAUGAGCCCGCGUAGGAUUAGCUAGUUGGUGUGGUAAAGGCGCACCAAGGCGACGAUCCUUAGCUGGUCUGAGAGGAUGAUCAGCCACACUGGGACUGAGACACGGCCCAGACUCCUACGGGAGGCAGCAGUGGGGAAUAUUGGACAAUGGGCGAAAGCCUGAUCCAGCAAUGCCGCUUGAGUGAUGAAGGCCUUAGGGUUGUAAAGCUCUUUUACCCGGGAUGAUAAUGACAGUACCGGGAGAAUAAGCUCCGGCUAACUCCGUGCCAGCAGCCGCAGUAA